rnacentral:rRNA from 1 species
UACGAAGGGGGCUAGCGUUGCUCGGAAUCACUGGGCGUAAAGCGCACGCAGGCGGAUUGAUAAGUCAGGGGUGAAAUCCCGGGGCUCAACCUCGGAAUUGCCUUUGAUACUGUCUGUCUUGAGUUCGGGAGAGGUUGGCGGAAUUCCUAGUGUAGAGGUGAAAUUCGUAGAUAUUAGGAAGAACACCAGUGGCGAAGGCGGCCAACUGGCCCGAUACUGACGCUCAUGUGCGAAAGCGUGGGGAGCAAACAGG